rnacentral:misc_RNA from 1 species
GAUGAAGAAUGUAGCGAAAUGCGAUAAGUAAUGUGAAUUGCAGAAUUCAGUGAAUCAUCGAAUCUUUGAACGCACAUUGCGCCCCUUGGUAUUCCGAGGGGCAUGCCCGUUCGAGCGUCAUUAUACCCCUCAAGCCUAGCUUGGUGUUGGGGCCUGCUGUUACCGGCAGCCCUUAAAAUCAGUGGCGGUGCCAUCUGGCUCUAAGCGUAGUAAUACUUCUCGCUACAGGGUCCCGGUGGAUGCUUGCCAUCAACCCCUAAUUUUCUAUGGUUGACCUCGGAUCGGGUAGGGAUACCCGCUGAACUUAAGCAUAUCAAUAAGCGGAGGAA